UACGUAGGGUGCAAGCGUUGUCCGGAAUUAUUGGGCGUAAAGAGCUCGUUGGCGGUUUGUCGCGUCUGCUGUGAAAACUCGGGGCUUAACUCCGGGCUUGCAGUGGGUACGGGCAGACUAGAGUGCAGUAGGGGAGACUGGAAUUCCUGGUGUAGCGGUGAAAUGCGCAGAUAUCAGGAGGAACACCGAUGGCGAAGGCAGGUCUCUGGGCUGUAACUGACGCUGAGGAGCGAAAGCAUGGGGAGCGAACAGG
rnacentral:rRNA from 1 species